rnacentral:rRNA from 1 species
AAUGAUAAUUGAAUGGCCGCGGUAUUUUGACCGUGCUAAGGUAGCAUAAUCAAUAGUUUUUUAAUUAAAAGCUGGAAUGAAGGGUUGGAUAAGAAAAUAACUGUUUCUAAAUAAUUUAAUUAGAAUUUUAUUUUUAAGUUAAAAAGCUUAAAUAAUAUUAAAAGACGAGAAGACCCUAUAGAGUUUAAUAAUUUUAUAUAUUAAUAUUUUAAGAAUUUAUUUUAUUAAUAUUUAAAGUUAUUUGAUUGGGGUGAUUAAAAAAUAAAAUUAACUUUUUUUGUAUUAUUACAUAAAUUAAUGAAUCUUUGAUCCAUUUAUGAUGAUUAUAAGAUUAAAUUACCUUAGGGAUAACAGCGUUAUUUUUUUUGAGAGUUCAAAUCGAAAAAAAAGAUUGCGACCUCGAUGUUGGAUUAAAAUUAAUUUUUGGUGUAGAAGCUGAAAUAUUAGGUCUGUUCGACCUUUAAAA